UGGGGAAUAUCGGACAAUGGGCGCAAGCCUGAUCCAGCAAUGCCGCGUGUGUGAAGAAGGCCUUCGGGUUGUAAAGCACUUUUUAUCAGGAGCGAAACGCUGUCGGCUAAUACCCGGCGGAACUGACGGUACCUGAGGAAUAAGCACCGGCUAACUUCGUGCCAGCAGCCGCGGUAAUACGAAGGGUGCAAGCGUUAAUCGGAAUUACUGGGCGUAAAGCGUGCGUAGGCGGUUUCUUAAGUCUGCUGUGAAAUCCCCGGGCUCAACCUGGGAAUGGCAGUGGAUACUGGGAGGCUAGAGUGUGUCAGAGGGUGGUGGAAUUCCCGGUGUAGCGGUGAAAUGCGUAGAGAUCGGGAGGAACAUCAGUGGCGAAGGCGGCCACCUGGGACAACACUGACGCUGAGGCACGAAAGCGUGGGGAGCAAACAGGAUUAGAUACCCUGGUAGUCCACGCCCUAAACGAUGCGAACUGGAUGUUGGUCUCAACUCGGAGAUCAGUGUCGAAGCUAACGCGUUAAGUUCGCCGCCUGGGGAGUACGGUCGCAAGACUGAAACUUAAAUGAAUUGAC
rnacentral:rRNA from 1 species